rnacentral:rRNA from 1 species
UACGUAGGGUCCGAGCGUUGUCCGGAAUUAUUGGGCGUAAAGAGCUCGUAGGCGGUUUGUCGCGUCUGCUGUGAAAUCCCGAGGCUCAACCUCGGGCCUGCAGUGGGUACGGGCAGACUGGAGUGCGGUAGGGGAGAAUGGAAUUCCUGGUGUGGCGGUGGAAUGCGCAGAUAUCGGGAGGAACACCGAUGGCGAAGGCAGUUCUCUGGGCCGUAACUGACGCUGAGGAGCGAAAGCGUGGGGAGCGAACAGG